rnacentral:tRNA from 1 species
CGGUAGUUCAGCUGGUUAGAACGCUAGCCUGUCACGCUAGAGGUCGUGGGUUCGAACCCCAUCC